CCUACGGGUGACAGCAGUGAGGAAUAUUGGUCACUGGGCGGAAGCCUGAUCCAGCCAAGUAGCGUGCAGGAUGAAGGCCCUACGGGUUGUAAACUGCUUUUAUACGGGAAUAACGCGCCUUACGUGUAGGGCUUUGCAUGUACCGUAUGAAUAAGGACAGGCUAAUUCCGUGCCAGCAGCCGCGGUAAUACGGAGGGUCCGGGCGUUAUCCGGAUUUAUUGGGUUUAAAGGGAGCGUAGGCCGCAUGUCAAGCGUGCUGGGAAAGUGCCGGGCUCAACCCGGGCCUUGCAGCGGGAACUGGCGUGCUUGAGUCCGCGGAAGGCAGGUGGAAUU
rnacentral:rRNA from 1 species